rnacentral:rRNA from 1 species
CCCCCCGCCACAGCACGAGAGUUUGAUCCUGGCUCAGGACGAACGCUGGCGGCGUGCUUAACACAUGCAAGUCGAACGAUGAACCACUUCGGUGGGGAUUAGUGGCGAACGGGUGAGUAACACGUGGGCAAUCUGCCCUGCACUCUGGGACAAGCCCUGGAAACGGGGUCUAAUACCGGAUACUGAUCCGCCUGGGCAUCCAGGCGGUUCGAAAGCUCCGGCGGUGCAGGAUGAGCCCGCGGCCUAUCAGCUUGUUGGUGAGGUAACGGCUCACCAAGGCGACGACGGGUAGCCGGCCUGAGAGGGCGACCGGCCACACUGGGACUGAGACACGGCCCAGACUCCUACGGGAGGCAGCAGUGGGGAAUAUUGCACAAUGGGCGCAAGCCUGAUGCAGCGACGCCGCGUGAGGGAUGACGGCCUUCGGGUUGUAAACCUCUUCAGCAGGAAGAAGCGCAAGUGACGUACCGCAGAGAGUCCGCC